CGGGUGAGUAACGCGUGAGGAACCUGCCUCAAAGAGGGGGACAACAGUUGGAAACGACUGCUAAUACCGCAUAAGCCCACGGCUCGGCAUCGAGCAGAGGGAAAAGGAGUGAUCCGCUUUGAGAUGGCCUCGCGUCCGAUUAGCUGGUUGGUGAGGUAAUGGCCCACCAAGGCGGCGAUCGGUAGCCGGACUGAGAGGUUGAACGGCCACAUUGGGACUGAGACACGGCCCAG
rnacentral:rRNA from 1 species